GGUGGCUCGCGGGCGCUUCCCUUUCUUUUUCUCCUUCCUUUCUUUGCUCUCUCCCUUCACUUUUCCUGAAUGUCUUCCCCGUGCCCUGAUAUGCGGCUUUCCACCAUGGAAUCUUGUGCGAGUUGCCCAAGCUGGAGGGAAUUAUGUUAUUGUAGAGGCUGGAAAAAGAGAACCUGAAAUUCAGAAGAAAAUUGAAUAUGCAGGUGGAGUGGAUUUAAAAUGAAUAAAACUGGAUAAUUUAACUUCAUGAGGAAAAUUACUUGUUCAGAUUUUGAUCAAGAGUUCUGGAGUUUGGAAUAGUCAGUAUGACACUCAACUUUGAUGGUACUCACUGCAUCUAUGACUUUGGGCAAGU